UCCAUUAAAAUUAUUAACAAAGUUGAUGUUACUCUCUCUAUAAAUAGCUCUUUCCUCUUGAUUUUAUUCUUCAUAAAACCAAAAUCACUUUAACCAUUUUAUUAUUUUCCCUUUAAUUCCCAAUCUUUUUAUCCUCAAGUUUAAUUUAUUCCUCCUUUUCCAAUGGCAAGUCUUGAUCAGUCGGCGGCUACAGUAUUAGAGCCAACUCCAACAACUGAAAUUGAAGUGAAGACAACAACAGAGGCACCAAAAACGAAGUCUGAAGUCCCAUUAGCAGCAAUGGCAACAACAGUUGCUGCCGUGGCUGCUGAAGGUGGUGAGGGAAAAAAAGAAAGUACUGAAGUUCCAGUUGAAAUGACUUCAGAGUAAAUGAUUUAAUUACUAUGUAAGUACUAAUAAUUGUAUUAUUAUGCUUUUUGAACACGUUUGUAUCUAAGCAUAAUAAAGUUUGGUUAUGAGUGCUUUUUUUUUUUUUUUUUUUUUAUUUCUAGCAAGUUGAGAGUGCUAGCUUGAUACAUGAGAUUUGAUAUCUCACUGUAUUUGAAUAAUAAGAAUACUCUUUUUCUUUGUUA